GUGCUUGUUUCAGUGGUACUUAUACUAAACUUGGAACAAUGUAGAGAAUAUUAGCAUGGCCCCUGCACAAGGGCUACAUGCUAAUUCAUGGAGCAUUGCAUAUUUGG